UAGCGGCGGACGGGUGAGUAACACGUGGGCAACCUGCCUGUAAGACUGGGAUAACUUCGGGAAACCGAAGCUAAUACCGGAUAGGAUCUUCUCCUUCAUGGGAGAUGAUUGAAAGAUGGUUUCGGCUAUCACUUACAGAUGGGCCCGCGGUGCAUUAGCUAGUUGGUGAGGUAACGGCUCACCAAGGCAACGAUGCAUAGCCGACCUGAGAGGGUGAUCGGCCACACUGGGACUGAGACACGGCCCAGACUCCUACGGGAGGCAGCAGUAGGGAAUCUUCCGCAAUGGACGAAAGUCUGACGGAGCAACGCCGCGUGAGUGAUGAAGGCUUUCGGGUCGUAAAACUCUGUUGUUAGGGAAGAACAAGUACGAGAGUAACUGCUCGUACCUUGACGGUACCUAACCAGAAAGCCACGGCUAACUACGUGCCAGCAGCCGCGGUAAUACGUAAGUGGCAAGCGUUAUCCGGAAUUAUUGGGCGUAAAGCGCGCGCAGGCGGUUUCUUAAGUCUGAUGUGAAAGCCCACGGCUCAACCGUGGAGGGUCAUUGGAAACUGGGGAACUUGAGUGCAGAAAGAGAAAAGCGGAAUUCCACGUGUAACGGUGAAAUGCGUAA
rnacentral:rRNA from 1 species